AAUACAGAGUUCUUCCUCGUGUUCACGCGAGGAAGAAAGAUAGCUUACAGGUAGGCAAGAUGAUUGUAUAUGCAGUACGAGAUGCCGUGAGUGACAUCAAGGGUUCGAGGGUCUGAUUAGUUUUCCUUUUUUUGUUUGAUAAGUACUAUGUAAAAAUGUUCGUGUCAAGAAGAUGAGGCUGCCUUCAUGUUUUA